AGGUUAAACAAAAUGUUCACAGAAGUACCAAACUAUUUUAAAGUAUAACGUCGAAUUUAUAUAAUCAUUAACUAUAUAUCGUAUUAUUUUGAUAAUAGCUGGUUGAUAAUCAAAUAAAAUUAAAUAUAAAUUAAUGUAUGAGUUUGUAAUGAAUCACCUGUUAUUAUUAUAAUUUAUUCACAAUAUUUGAAAAUAAACUUUCUUUCAUAAUCAAAUUAAUACAUAUUACGUUUGUGGCUAACAGGCUAAUAGGUCAUGGAUUGAUAUUAAAUUUAAAUGUAAGAAACAAUUUGGAAAUAUUUGGGUACUCCUAAUCUCUUUUAGUCUUUCAAUUUUUAAAUAUGUUGAUGCGCAAACGAUGUACGAUAUCUUAAGGCUUAAGGUAAACGGACAAUGCUUAAAUGGUUUAUG